AUUGAACGCUGGCGGCGUGCCUAAUACAUGCAAGUCGACCUUAGUGGCGAACGGGUGAGUAACACUUGGGUAACCUGCCCAUCAAAAGGUGAUAACACUUGGAAACAGGUGCUAUUACCGUAUACUGAUUGAUGGACCCGCGGUGCAUUAGCUAGUUGGUGAGGUAACGGCUCACCAAGGCCACGAUGCAGAGCCGACCUGAGAGGGUGAGCGGCCACAUGGGGACUGAGACACGGCCCAAACUCCUACGGGAGGCAGCAGUGGGGAAUCUUGGGCAAUGGACGAAAGUCUGACCGAGCAACGCCGCGUGAGUGAAGAAGGUUUUCGGAUCGUAAAACUCUGUUGUUAGAGAGGCGGUAGCUAACCAGAAAGCCACGGCUAACUACGUGCCAGCAGCCGCGGUAAUAC
rnacentral:rRNA from 1 species